rnacentral:tRNA from 4 species
GUCUAUAUAGAUUAUAAAUAAAUCAUGAUGCUGUUAACUUCAAGAAAGGGUUAUCCUUAUAGUCG